UUAGAGAAGUCCCUUCAGUAUUUCUUUUAGAAUGGGUUUUGUAUUGCUGUAUUCUUUUAGCUUUUGUUUGUUGGAAAAAAUUUUUAUUUCCCCUUUUGUUUUAAAUGAUAUUCUUGCUGGAUAGAGUAUUCUAGGUUGUAUAUUUUUUCCUUCCAGUGCUUGCCAUUCCCUCCUUGCCUGUAGAGUUUCUGUAGAGAAAGCAGCUGAUAACCUUAUGGGGGUUCCCUUACAGGUAACAUUUUGCUUUUCUCUUGCUGCCUUUAGGAUCCUCUCUUUAUUAUUAACUUUUGCUAUUUUUAUUAUAAUGUGUUUUAUGUGGGUCUAUUUGGGUUCAACUUGUUUGGGGCCCUGUGUGAUUCCUGUAUCUUGAAAUCUGUAUCCUUUAGAUUUGGAAAGUUUCCAGCGUUAAUUUCUUCAAAUAUAUUUUCAAUUCUGUUAUCUUUUUCUUCUCCUUCGGGAAUUCCUAUUAUGCAUAGAUUGGCCCACUUCAUAUUAUCCCAUAGGUCUCUUAUAUUCCUUUCAUGUUUUUUCAUUUGGUUUUCUGUCUGCUGUCCCAUUUGGGUGAUUUCCAUCAUUCUAUAUUCCACAUGACUGAUUUGUUCCUCUGCAUUAUUCAUUCUGGUUUUUACUGCCUUUAGCUCCGUUUGUAUCUCUGCAAAUGAAUUUUCUAGUUUUUCUUGGCUCCUCCUUAUAUUUUCUAGUUCCUUUCUGAUGGAGUCUACAUUACUGUUCAUAUCUUCUCUUAAUUCCUUCAGUAUUUUCGCUGUCUCCCUUUUGAACUCUAAGUCUGUCAGACUGCAGAGGUCUGUUUCAUUGUUGACUGCUUUAGGUGAGUUCUCCUGUUGGUUUAACUGGGGGUGGUUUCUGAGCUUCUUCAUCUUGCUUGUUAUUUUCUUUUUGUGGUGGAGGUGCACUCCCCAUGGCCACGCAGGGUUUGCCCUGGUGCUACUGUGGAGUGCUUCCUGAGGGCUGGUGGUGUUGGCUGGCCUUCUUUGUGUCAGUAGGGUGUUUCCCGAGCAAAGGAGGACUUCCUGAGGGUGGGUGGGACUAGCAGGACUACACCGUGUUGGUGGCACACUUCCCGAGGCCAGGCAGGGUUUGCCCAGGUGCUCCUGGGCUGUGGAGCUCUUCUCGAGGGUGGGUGGUGCUGGGUGGCUUGCUCUGCUGGAGCGUAGUGCUUCCCAAGGGCUGCCAGGGCUAGCCGGCUCACUCUGAUACCAAGGAGCAUUUCCCAAGGGUGGGCUGGGCUAGCCAGCUCAAUCUAAGGCAAAGGAGUGCUUCCUGAGGGCGGGCAGAGCUAGCCGGCUUACUCAGAGACAAAAGAGCACUUCACUGGGGCAGACGGGACAGGCAGGUCUACACUGCAAUGGAGCAGACUUCCCAUGACCAGGCAGGGAUUGUCUCCAUGCUUCAGAGCUCUUCCAGGGGGUGGUUGCUCCACAGGAGUGCAGUGCCUCUAGAGGGUGGGAGGAGCUAGCUGGGUUGGUCCAAGGCAAAGGAGUCGCUUACAAGUCCCGGGGGGGAGCUCUUCCUUAGGUGAGUGAUGCUGGGUGGCUGCUCUGCAGGAGUGCAGCACCUCCAAGGGCGGGCAGGCCGGGCUGGGGAAAGCCCCAGAGGAAGUUGGCUUCCUGUGAGUGGUGAGGCCAGUCCCCUGGGAUGACAGGUGGCUUCUGGCCUUGUGCACACAGGGUGGAGGAGGGGGGUGCACUGGGAAGCUCUGCUCUCUGCUAGCUGGUAAGCAAGUGUGUUUGGCGGGGCACAAUGAGUAUUCUAUGGUGGCCUGCCCCUCUUCCUCACCCCUCUCCAACACUGGCGCCUUGUCUCUCCUGCUGUUCAAGACCUUCUCCCAGGUUCCCUCUGUUGUGGCUUUCCACUCCCCAGCCCUUAGCGUGUUGUUCCCUUCACCUGUGAUGCACCACUUCCUAAUCCCUCAGGCUGUCUCCACACUGCCAACCCCAGCCCACUCCCGAGGACUAAACUCCGGAGCCUAGGUCUUGGUGCCCAGCCCCCACCCAAGUAUCUCGGUUUGGGGGGACUAUGCCAGUAGUUCAGAUGACCUCUGCAGCUCUCACUGUGCUUUUCAGAUCUCAGACCUACUGCUGCACUUUUCUCAGCAUCUGGAGAUCCCUCCAACUUGGUUGAUCUUUCCAUCAUUUAGGUGACUUUGCAGGGUGUGGGUUCCCUUUCUCCUUCACAAUUCCCUCUCAGGAGUGCUAGUGUGGUCCUGAUUCCCCUUCUCUCUCUCUCUCUCCUCUUUUCUCUUGUUUUACCCAGUUAUGUCACAAGAUUCUUGCUGUUUUUGGAGGUUUAAGUUCUUCCGCCAGCAUUCAGUUGCUGUUCUGUGUGAGUUCUUUAACAUGUAGAUGUGUUUUUUUGUUGUGUUUGUGAGAGAGGGCUAGUGCAUCUUCCUACUCUUCCGCCAUCUAUCCCCUCUCUCUCUUUUUUUCUUUUUUGGUGACAGUGAUUUCCAUAUUCUGUCUUCCACCUCACUUAUUUGUUCUUCUGCCUGUUUUCCUGUUGUUAAUUCCUUCUAAUUUAUUCUUCAUUUCAGAUAUUGUGCUCUCCAUCUCCAUCUGCUUGUUCUUUAGGUCUUCUAGCUCUUUGUUAAACGUCUCUUGCAACUUCUCUAUCUGUGUCUCCAAUUUUUUCCUCAAGGUCUUGGAUCAUCUAUAGUAUCACACUCUGAAUUCUUUUUCAGGUAGAUUGCUUAUCUCCUCUUCAUUUAGUUGUUUUUGUCUUGUUCCUUUGUCUGAAAUCUAUUUCUUUGUCCUCUCAUAUUGUCUAACUCUCUAUAUUUACUGUCUCCUUGAUGAUAGAUAUGCAGAUACAGCAGGUGGUUCCUCAUCUUGGAGGUGGUAGUGGCUCACCUCUACCUAGAGUACUUGAUGGGAGCAGUGAUAUUAUGCUACCUCCCCUGGAGCUUGGUGGCUGUUAGGAAUGGUAUCCAUGUGAGUGUUGGCAGUAGUUCAUGGUUCGCAUGAUUACUUUUGUGGUGGCAGGGGAGUUGUUCAUUGCUCACUCCUAUGACCCCUCCUGCUUCCAGGUAUCUCUUGGGAUGUUUCUUGGAUGUAAUUUGCACCAUCAGCAGUUGAUCUUGCAUGUCCUCCCUUUGCUAGGGAGGCUGUAGAGACCACUCUCCAUGGCUGGGGGCGCAGGUGCCCAGUGGGUGUUCUUUGUAGCCCUAGAAGUAGGGGCUUCUCCCUAACUGUUGCUAAAAGGCUUUCUCUGUAUCUGUAAGGCCCGUACCAUUCCAGCAGUCCCUCCUCCAAUAGGACUGAUGGUAGAGUGCUCCUUGUAGCCAUUUUGAAGUCAAAGUGUAGUCCAUCAGGCUCCUCUCAGCUCCUUUGGCUAACUGUGCAAUAUAUGCUGCUUCUGCAAUCCCCUGCUUGAUGGUUGUCAGGGAUCAUGGAGCUUGUGCUAUUCCUGAGAUCACUCUGCCAAUCUGCUGGCUAUUUAUGUCUUCUUGGAUGUGCGCAUUGUUUCCAGGUUCACUGUGCCCCUUCCUUUUGAGGCUUUCCACCUGCCCACCUGGCCUCUUGUGACUCUCAGAAUCCUUCAUGCUAUUUCCAAGUUCACUUUUCUGCCCUGAUGCAGGUUACAUCUCUUCACCUGCCCACCAGGCCUUUUGUACUCCCAGGUCCUUUUGCACUGUUUCUGAAGUAGCUUUACGGAUUCAAUGGACCCUUCAUAGCUCUCCAUUGGCCCAGAAGGUCCCUUGUGGAGUUCCAGGAUUCUUUGUGCUGCUUCCAAGAUACCUUUCUCUACCCCCUAGAUAGAUUACAGUUCUGUGCCACCCAGGAGGCCCCCUGGACCGUCUGCUCUGAUUCCCAAAUCACUGUCUCCUGGGCAAAUUUUGGCUCUGCACCCACCCAGAGGGCCCCUAGCAGACUCCCCAGAUUUUUCUGUUUCAAGGUAGCUUUCUCCACCUGGUAGGGAGAUUGUGGCUUUGUACCCACCCAGCAGACCCCGUGUGGAAUCCUGCCUCUCCAUGCUGCUUCAGAAAUAACUUUCUCCACCCCAUAUGUAAAAUUUCAAUUCUACACUGGCACCAAAGGCCCUUUGUAGACUCCCAGGACUCAGGAUUUUUCACAGUGUUUCCAAAAUUACUUUCACCACCUGCUAAGCAAAUUGCGGCUCCCCAUCUGCCCAGGGGGCUCCUUGAAGAAUCCUGCCCAUCCACGUUGUUUCCAAAAAUCACUCUCUGUUCCCUAGGGAAAAUGGGGCUCUUCACCCACACACUGGCCCAUCCAUGGUUCCUCGAGCCUUCUGCACUGUAACAGCAGUUGCUUUAGUGUUGCCCUGCCUCAAUGCAGGCUGGGGUUGUGUGUACUGUGCUAUUCCCUAGUUCCCUCUGUUUGCUCCAAGGGUUCCCUCUGCUUGCUCCAUUUUCUCUGUAGCCUUAAGGGCUGUGGGCAGCUCCACAAUUAUCCUUAAGCAGCUACUGCUAAAGGGUAUAUCCUGGAGCUGGGGCAGUUGGGGUUUUACAGUGUGAGAGCACUAGCAGAGGGUAAGGCUAUAGUGGCAGAUCCCACCCCUUCUCUCCAGUACCUCCUAACAAUGGCAUCUAGCCUCCAAGCCUGACUGGGAUUCCUCAGCUUACAGCCUCAAAUGUGGUCACUCUAGACUCCAGUCUCUCCAGAUUGUCUCCAUGCUACCAAUCCUACCUAGUUUUUCCC
rnacentral:lncRNA from 1 species